ACAGUGGGAGGUGUCCCUGCCAUGGCUGGGGUGGGAUGGGAUGGGCUUUGAGGCCCCUUCCCACCCAACCCACCCUGGGGUUCUGUCAGUGCUUUGUGCCCUGACCCCCAGCAGCCUCUGUCCUCUCUGAGCUCGUGCUCUGCAGCAGGAGCUGAGAUGUUCCUGCCCAGAGGGUUUGUGUCCUCCCAGAGCUGUGGGCUCUCAGGUUGAGGUUAUGGAGCCCCAGUGCCCUCCUGGCUCGUGCCUGGAUUGAUCAGCAGCCCUGCUGGAAGAGAAACACUCCUGCUGGAAGCAGAGAGGAGAAGGGGGACGCCCCUCUGGAGAAACAGCACCCCAAGGUGCAGGGUGAUACAUCAGGGGCUUUGGGAGUAUGGCAUGCUUUUAGAUCUUGCAAAAAUCGGGUUUUCAUGUGGAAGAGGGAACAGGGAACGUGGAACUGUGCAGUGGAAAGGUGAUCAGUCAACUCCUGCCUGGCAGAGGAGGGUCCAGGGGUGGGCAAUGGAAAAGAUGCUGGGACUUAGGAUGCCUUUAUUCUGGGACAGCUAUUUCAAACCACAUUUGUUCAUGGAACUGCUUGUUUAAGAGAGGGCUGACUCCAUCAUUAAGUGUGGAGUAAACAGGUUUUAUGCUCUGGAGCUUGUGUGGCACAACUUAAACUGUCCCUGUCUCCCACCAAGUGAGCAACAGCUGCUGCUGCUGUGUUGGGGUCUGGAAACCAGUGAGUUCACAGGCUGCAAACUCCCUUGGGCUUUAGGGAGCUUGUUUUUUAUUUCUUGACUCUGUUCUGCACAGUGUAUUUUGUGAAGCUGCCUUUUCACCUGUUUUUACAAAAAAAUACCCUUCUUGGUGCAGGAUUUAAAGUGUUUGUGUUCGUUCCCCUUCUGUAGAUUCCAUCAGUCAAUAAAAUGCUGCACUUGAAGGAAGAUAAAUGCUUUCUGUGCCUGGAAGUUGUGUGCUGUUAGUGGAUGGUUCAGCUGCUGCUACAAGAGCUCAGAAGUGAGAUGAAUCCGAGCACCACAUAUGGAAAAUAUCCUUCCCCAGUGCUGGUGGGGGCUGAGGGUUUCUGUCCCUCUGGAGCCCUCCUUGGUGGCCAGAGGGCAACUUGAGCUGUUUCCUCCUACCUGUGCCACAGGCACGGGGUGGAGAAAUCCCUGGUGGACACGAGGACUCCUCCUGUCCAGGGAAAGAGGAGAGGCUCAGCAGUGAGGCUGCAGGAGGCACCCCAGCUGAAACCUUCCCUUGAGCUGAAAUGGGGAAAACUCCGAGCUGUUUCAUGGGAAUGUGAGCAAAUUGGUUAAACAUGUAACACUGGAAGAGGCAGAAUUCAGGAUAGCAUGGCUUGGAGUAGUGCCCUUGUUGUGGCUGGGGGAGAAUUCCCAAGAAGUCAUCCUCCAGAGAGGGCUCAAUCAGAGAUUUCUUUUUGCUCCAGGCAAAAAAAAAAAAGGAUGUCACAGAAAAUGUAAGAUCUGUGUUAAUGGUCUGCAGCAGCUUUGCGGUUCCCAGCAUUGCUCUGUGAAGUGGGUCCAGAGAAUGCCUUUUGGGAGUCAGGUGUAGGCACUGGAAAAUUCUGAUUUUCAUGGGGAGAGGCAGCAGCUGUGGGGUGGGAGCUGCACGGAGCCAGAGGCUGCAGCAGAUGUCUCUGCUCUGUCCCUGAAUGGCCAGGUGGUGCUCAGCUGAGGUCAGCUCUGCCCACAAUGUUCAUUCUUCCCUUUUGGGAGUGGUGGAACCUGUCUGGUUUGUACCCACCGAGAAGCAGGCAGGAAGAAAGGGGAGAGGGAGAGCUCUAUGAGGCUGCUCAGGAAAGCGACAGGGGGACAUCUGAAAAGAGCAGAAACCUUUGAGAGCAUUAUGGACAAUGAUGAAAUUCAAAUGGGGAAUGUUCUGUGCAUUUUUCAUGUCCCUACCAGGAGGAGUAUGGCAGUUCUAAUGUUUAAUGCAUGCACAGUAAUAGAAGGCUGAACUGAUCUCCACAGGCCCGUUUGUUCCAUUGCUGUCCAGAAGGAAAUAAAUUAAAUUCUAUCAAAUUCUGAAUUCUAUUCUAUCCUAUUUGGAUCCAGAUGCUGCAGAGGGGGAGAUCAGCAGAAGGAAAGCUGGGCUUUAGAGGGUUGAGGUUUGGGUGACAUCAACACAACGUGCCCAAGGUGCAGCUUAGUUAAAACCAGCACCGGUGAGUGCUGCUCUCCUUUGGGAGUGUGCACAGGACCCUCAGGCUGGGCUCAAAGCCUAAAGAGAGGAGCCAUCUCAUUCACAAGAGGAUUUUACAUUUGGUUGGACUGACAUGCUUGGUGCCCUGCAUGAUGCUCCAAGGCCCAGAACUGGAAGGACGGGAACAUUUUGGAGAUAAAUGAUUGUGCUGCUCAGUCUUGAAAGAGGUUGGUAAAACAAACCUGGGUUUCCUUGUUGGGUGCUGUGACUGAGACUGUCGAGCAGAGUUUGUCUGUGGAGUUGUGGUCUCAGAACAGGCAUCAGCUUGCACGAAGAGACCAGAGGAGAUUUUGGACAGCUUGGAGUAUCUUAAAGCAUGAACUUCUGUGCCAGUUUCUCUGGCCAGACAGAGGAUCUUCUCCAGGAUAAGCAAAUCACCCUUUUAUGCACACUUGUCUGCCCCAUUUUAAUCUUUCUUUCCCAGUUAUGUAAAGAGCACCAGACUAAUAUUCCCUGUGCACCACUGGUAAGCUGAUUCGCUCGCUCCACGUUAUCAGACACAGAAGCACUGCAGGGCUGGUUUGUAAAUUGAGUUGGAUUUUUUAUUUUACAUCUGUGUUAUUCCAAGCUCUUAUGUAAACACUUGGAAAGCAAUUUCUAUAUAUACUCAGUUUGUUAUGCAACUACCCUGGGCAGUGAUGCCUAAGGGAUUUAAUUUUCUUAUCGGUGGUUUUUAGAAGAAGUGAUCAAGCAUUCCUUCUGUGGAAGGCUCAGGGAAUCAUAAAGUGAAAACCAAUAAUAAAUGGAGAAAACAAGGGCAACUACAAAAUUAAAAAGAGGGGAAAAAAUUAAAA